rnacentral:misc_RNA from 1 species
GUUUCAGGUCUGGUUUCCACAAAGCGAUAUUCCAGAUAAUAGGGAAAUUGGUGUUGGAAAACAUGAGGAAGAGAUAAAUGAAGCAACGGAAACUGUUGUUGAAGUGGUAACAGAUUUACAAGAUUUAUGUGGAGAGAAGGAUAAAAGUUCUGCAAUAGUUUUGGCAGAUCAAUUGAGCAAUGUAACUGAUGUUGAGAGGAA